rnacentral:rRNA from 1 species
UACGAAAGGGGCUAGCGUUGUUCGGAAUUACUGGGCGUAAAGCGCACGUAGGCGGCUUUUCAAGUCGGGGGUGAAAUCCCGGGGCUCAACCCCGGAAUUGCCUCCGAAACUGGAUGGCUAGAGGCCGUGAGAGGUGAGUGGAAUACCGGGUGUAGAGGUGAAAUUCGCAGAUAUUCGGUGGAACACCAGUGGCGAAGGCGGCUCACUGGACCGGCACUGACGCUGAGGCGCGAAAGCGUGGGAGCAAACAGG